GCAACAGCGGGCGCUGUAAGAAACAGUCUUCUUAUGAUUAAGACAUAGAGACGGAACCAGCUUGAUUUAAUACCGAAAUGGGUCUGACAUGAACCAUGGCCAAGUCAACAGAGACAGGCAACCAACACGUGACACUUGCCUGCAAGCUUUUCUGAGACACGGAUGGCUGAGAGCCAGCUCUAAAUAUUUCACGUCUCUGUCUGAGUUGAUCAGGUUUCCCAAAGCAGGGAGAGAGAGACAGAAAGAGAGAGAGACAGAGACAGAGAGAGAGACAGAGACAGAGAGAGAAAGAGAGAGAAAGAAAGAGGCUAUGCUUACAUUUAAAGAUUGCCCUCUGAAUAAGCAAAAGGAGAUUAUACACACUCCCUUUUAAUUAACAAACAUAUCCACCUGUAAUUAAAUGUCCCCUGAGACAUGAAGAAGAGAUUUAACCCUUUGUAAAAGCAUGAGAACGCCGUGUAAAGGACGUAGCUUCUUCGCUAAGGUGCCCGGUUCUCCUCACCAGAGAAAGAAUAGCAACCAGGAAAACCUCUAUCCUCAAUGGAGCAAGUGUCUGUGGAAUUGACUAGUGUGUAGUGAACAGUUGCGUGGACACUUAUGUGCUGCGUGCGGAAUGUUUGGGGUGUUUGCCGUGACCUAGCUCACUGUCUCAUCACAAAGGCUUUAGGAGGCUUCUGAGCACCAGCACAGGUGUGUGUGCCACACCCAGGGUUGACCCACCCUUCUCUUUCUUAUCGUCGCAAGAGCAACAAUAUUUACACAGCAGUAACUGUAAAGCAAAGGAAGCGGUCACUGCACUCUGCAUUUUCAACUCUGUGUUUAAUGGGGACACCAGUUGCUAGGGAGAGGUGGAUCCUUGAAGGCUACUAACCCAGACUGAAUGAGUAUGCUGUAAGGCUCUUGAAGGAAAGAUACGGAGAGCAUGGAGGAGGGGUGCCUUCCCAAGGACCUUAGACUGGUGUGGGAAAUAUAAAUGCUCUACAGCAUGACCCAUCUUCAUCCCCAUGCUGGAAGGAAGGCCUGGUAGCCAGAAUAUAUCCUCCACCUGAGAGCCGGGAUCAUCACUAGUUCUUGAACAGAGGACCGCAGGAGCAUUUCCUUUAUAAAUGUCAUCAAGCAGAGCCAGGUGCACUGGCACAUAUCCUUAAUCCCAGCACUGGGAAGGCAGAGGCAAGAGAGUCACAGCAAGCUUGAGGCCUGCCUGGUCCACAUAUGGAGUCCCUGGAUAUUCAGAGCGCCACGGAAACCCUGUCUCAAACUCUAAAUAAAACGGACCAAGCAAAAAGGGGCCGGCAGAAAAGUAACUCAAGUCAGGAUGACUCAAGUCAGGAUGUUGGAAGAAGGAUCUCUGAGUGAGAUUUGAAAUCCUACCUGGAUCUGAAUCCUAGCCCUGAGCUUGCUAGCUGGGUAACCUGCUGUAAGUGACCAGAGGAGACACUGUUUUCUCUUGUAUGAUUAGAGUCGUCAUGCAAACUACGAACACUGUGAGAACCAAGAUAUGGCAGGUAUGCCCAGUGCUUAAAACCUACAGGCAUGGAGUGAUGCUCUGCUCGGUGCCGGGAUGGUGGCGGAGUGGAAAAGCCAUGCCCUCGUCCCAAGGCAGCCUCUCUCGAGACUGGCUACAGACUUUUUUUCUUUCCUACAACAAAAACGCAGACAUUUCUUAUUUCUCAGCACGCCUUAUCAACACAGCUUAUCCACUUCUCUGGAAGUUAGAGUUGCUCUUUUUCUUCUACCUGGAGACAGAGUACAAUAUCCUUUCAGGAACUGGGCUCUACGUAAGCCAAUGUGGUUGAUGCUAUAAAGAGUUCAUAUGGGUUUCCUACCCUUCCACACAGACUUGAAGAGGUUUCAUUUCUUCCUGUCUGCUCUGUCUUGUGACGUUGUUUCCAUUAAGGACACUAUAGAACUCAUUGGCUCUGUCACCUCUACCAUCAGUCCUUGCAGUUGCCGAGACACCUUUGAAAGGAUCACUCAUCCUUGUACAUCUUCGUAAGAGAUGUCUCCUAGCCUCUUUGAGACUCUGGUUGUCCGAUUCCCUGGGCCCUCCCUGCUCAGAACCGCAGCUAUGCUGACAAUGGCCACCCUAAGACUUCACAGGGGACUUAGCUGUGCUUGCUCCAUUGUGCUAAGCUCUCUCCUGGUUGCUAAGUCCCUAGUCUAAGGUUGUGGAUAGAGUACAGGGUGACUUGUCAAGUUGGAAUUUUAGAUAAACAACAAAAAACGGAGGCCCGUGUCUCAAGAGUUGAGUCUCGUGUUUAUUUGAUAAAUCUGCAGCAGGAAGGCCAGUCUCCCACCCAGGCUUCUGCACCUGAUAUUCUUCACCAGCAUGCAGGCGAAGUCAGUUCUGGACGAUACCAUAAAUGAAAACUGACCACAGCGACAGCAAUAAUGGCUGAGAUGCCCGAAACAGCUACCACGAUAAACACUUCACACCAAUUAGGGUUCAGUCCAUCACAGCAGGGAAAGCAUGGCCGCAGAUGCAAGGCAGUUGUCAAUAUCGUCUCCACAGUCAGCAAGCAGAGAGUAGACAGGAAACACGGCAUGGACAUAAAACCUUCAAGCCUUCCUCAGUGGCCUGCUUUCUCCAGAGGAGUUCCACUUCCUAAUGGCUACGCACACUUCCAAAAGAGCACCACCAGCUGGGGACCAGCUGUUCCAACAUGAGCCUGUGGGGGACAUUUACCAUUCAAGCACACGGGAGACUGCUAUGGACAGAAGAAAGCAGAGCGUUUUCUUCAGAUAUGGCGAGCAGGAUGUGAUUUGUUGCUUCUAUCUGCACAGGUUUAACUCAAGAAAUCGUCAUCACCAGAAUUCAAAUAAAACCUUCAGUUCUCACAG
rnacentral:lncRNA from 1 species